GACGAGGUGGCCGAGUGGUUAAGGCGAUGAAGUGCUAAUACAUUUUGACAUUCCCGCGUGGGUUUGAAUCCCAACCUUGUCG